UGCAAGUCGUACGCGUUGGCCCAACUGAUUUGAAGUGCUUGCACGGAUCUGACGUUGGUUUACCAACGAGUGGCGGACGGGUGAGUAACACGUAGGUAACCUGCCCAGAAGCGGGGGACAACACUUGGAAACAGGUGCUAAUACCGCAUAACAAUUCAAAUCGCAUGAUUUGAAUUUAAAAGAUGGUUUCGGCUAUCACUUCUGGAUGGACCUGCGGCGCAUUAGCUUGUUGGUGGGGUAACGGCCUACCAAGGCAGUGAUGCGUAGCCGAGUUGAGAGACUGAUCGGCCACAAUGGGACUGAGACACGGCCCAUACUCCUACGGGAGGCAGCAGUAGGGAAUCUUCCACAAUGGGCGCAAGCCUGAUGGAGCAACACCGCGUGAGUGAAGAAGGUUUUCGGAUCGUAAAGCUCUGUUGUUGAAGAAGAACGUGCAUGAGAGUAACUGUUCAUGCAGUGACGGCAUUCAACCAGAAAGUCACGGCUAACUACGUGCCAGCAGCCGCGGUAAUACGUAGGUGGCAAGCGUUAUCCGGAUUUAUUGGGCGUAAAGAGAGUGCAGGCGGUUUCUUAAGUCUGAUGUGAAAGCCUUCGGCUCAACCGAAGAAGUGCAUCGGAAACUGGGAAACUUGAGUACAGAAGAGGGCAGUGGAACUCCAUGUGUAGCGGUGGAAUGCGUAGAUAUAUGGAAGAACACCAGUGGCGAAGGCGGCUGCCUGGUCUGUAACUGACGCUGAGACUCGAAAGCAUGGGUAGCGAACAGGAUUAGAUACCCUGGUAGUCCAUGCCGUAAACGAUGAGUGCUAGGUGUUGGAGGGUUUCCGCCCUUCAGUGCCGGAGCUAACGCAUUAAGCACUCCGCCUGGGGAGUACGACCGCAAGGUUGAAACUCAAAGGAAUUGACGGGGGCCCGCACAAGCGGUGGAGCAUGUGGUUUAAUUCGAAGCUACGCGAAGAACCUUACCAGGUCUUGACAUCUUGCGCCAACCCUAGAGAUAGGGCGUUUCCUUCGGGAACGCAAUGACAGGUGGUGCAUGGUCGUCGUCAGCUCGUGUCGUGAGAUGUUGGGUUAAGUCCCGCAACGAGCGCAACCCUUGUUACUAGUUGCCAGCAUUAAGUUGGGCACUCUAGUGAGACUGCCGGUGACAAACCGGAGGAAGGUGGGGACGACGUCAGAUCAUCAUGCCCCUUAUGACCUGGGCUACACACGUGCUACAAUGGACGGUACAACGAGCAGCGAACUCGCGAGGGCAAGCAAAUCUCUUAAAACCGUUCUCAGUUCGGAUUGCAGGCUGCAACUCGCCUGCAUGAAGUCGGAAUCGCUAGUAAUCGCGGAUCAGCAUGCCGCGGUGAAUACGUUCCCGGGCCUUGUACACACCGCCCGUCACACCAUGAGAGUUUGUAACACCCAAAGUCGGUGGGGUAACCUUUGGAGCC
rnacentral:rRNA from 1 species